rnacentral:rRNA from 1 species
UACGAAGGGGGCUAGCGUUGCUCGGAAUCACUGGGCGUAAAGGGUGCGUAGGCGGGUCUUUAAGUCAGGGGUGAAAUCCUGGAGCUCAACUCCAGAACUGCCUUUGAUACUGAGGAUCUUGAGUAUGGGGAGAGGUGAGUGGAACUGCGAGUGUAGAGGUGAAAUCGUAGAUAUUCGCAAGAACACCAGUGGCGAAGGCGGCUCACUGGCCCAUUACUGACGCUGAGGCACGAAAGCGUGGGGAGCAAACAGG